UCCCCUUGUCCUUGGGUCCGCUAGGGCCAAGGGGUCACCAGCUUGAUGGAAGGUCAUAUAAAGGUCACGGAAGGUACUACGGGUGAGGGCGUGCAGGUGGCACCCCUAUGAGUGCCAGCUCCCGGGUACAAAGUCCAAUCCAACAUCAGCGAGCACCGCUAGGGUGAAGUGUAUGCUUAAAGUUUAACUUCAACGAAGCAAAUGGGGGAAGGAUCCAACGUGGGUCGACAGGUGUGUGAGCUGACCACACCUGCACUGUUGGUGGAUCUGGCAAAAGUUAAAGCUAACUGCAGUAACAUGCUGGCCAAUUGCGAGUCCAUGGGUGUCUUCCUCAGGCCUCAGACCAAGACCCACAAGACCAUCGAGUGUGCUUUGCUACAAACAGGUGGCAGGAAGUGUGGCUUGGUCACGUCAACAUUGGAGGAAGCAGAGUUCUUUGCAAGACAUGGCUUUGAUGAUAUUUUAUAUGGCUACCCCCUCAUUCCUCAUCAUAUGCCUCGUGUCACAGCACUUACAAAGCAAUUGGAGAAAUUCCACGUGAUGGUUGACUCGAGGCUGGCGGUGGAGAUACUGAUGAACGCCCCACCACCUGGCAAGCCUUGGUCUGUCUUCCUCAAGGUAGACUGUGGCAACAAGCGAGCUGGAGUGUGGUGGGAAGAUGAAGCUGGUGUAGACUUGACAGUGUUGCUCCAAAAUUCACCAAACAUCAUCUUCGCUGGAGUGUAUGUUCACUGUGGCAACUCGUACCAUGCCUGCACUGCCAACGAGGUACUUCAGGUCCAAGGUGAAACUGUAGAACGUUUGCUGAAGUUUGUGGACCGUGUGAAGGAGCGAGGAGUUACAUGCUCUACUGUGGGUAUUGGGUCUACCCCCACCUGCAGAAGGCCUACUGACAGAAUGAAACAACUGACAGAAUUACACCCUGGCAAUUAUGCCUUCCUUGAUGUGCAGCAAUGGACCCUAGGGUCGUGUGACCAGGAGGACAUUGCUUGUUGUGUUGCUACCCGCAUCAUUGGCCAUUACAUACACAGGAACCAGAUGUUGAUAGACUGUGGGUUCACAGGUCUUACCAUGCAGGGGUACGGUAAAAUGGCCACUGGCUAUGGGGUCUUCCGUGGCCAUCCCAACCUUAAGCUGUGCAAAAUGACACAGGAGAUUGGCUUCGUGGAACCUUUGGAGGGCAAGCUGGACUUCAAUCUUUAUCCCAUUGGCUCCCUACUCUACAUUCUUCCAUGGCAUGAGCCAGAACUGGGCCCCCCUCAGAGAGACACGAGGAGCAAUGACCUAUAGAAACCCCAUUGUGGUUUUGAGCAUUCUGUGCCAGCCAUCAACCGGGUCUGACACCCAGAAAGUCAUGUGCCACAGCGGCGCUGUACCCUGUGUAUAAUGUGGUUGAUGGUGACACCGUAGUGGAAGAGUGGAGACCUACACGUGGCUGGUGAAGAUAUGCUGUUGUGAACUAUUGUUAUUGGCGGUGAAUAUUGUCAAGGCAACUAUUGGUGGUGGUUGUGAAUAUUGUCUAGGUAACUAGUGAAUAUUGUCUAGGUAACAAGUAGUGGUGGUUGUGAAUAUUGUCAGUGUGUAAGGAUAAAUGUCUUAAGACCAUCAUCUGAGGAUGAUACACAUGAUCAUGUUUAUUUUAGUAGUACUGAACAGCUUCUGGUCCUUGUAUGAUAAUGAUGCGCUUCAGGCUACUACAGAGAGAAUAAAAUAUCUUAAACCUAAUGUUGAUGCUCACUGAGGGUAGCAUAUAAUAGACAUGUAUGGAUAUUGAUCUCAGGAUUAGUUAUACACAGUACAAUACUGUUUUCUACUUUAGAGAGAGAAAGCAGUAAUGACUUGUAAACAAAAUUGUUAAAAUACAUUAAAAUAUGCAACUCAUUAUAA